rfam:Chryseobacterium gambrini strain DSM 18014 genome assembly, contig: Ga0111674_104
AUAGCGGUAUCUGAAAAGCUCAUAGAGUAGGAA